UACGGGAGGCAGCAGUGGGGAAUAUUGCACAAUGGGCGCAAGCCUGAUGCAGCCAUGCCGCGUGUAUGAAGAAGGCCUUCGGGUUGUAAAGUACUUUCAGCGGGGAGGAAGGCGAUGUGGUUAAUAACCGCAUCGAUUGACGUUACCCGCAGAAGAAGCACCGGCUAACUCCGUGCCAGCAGCCGCGGUAAUACGGAGGGUGCAAGCGUUAAUCGGAAUUACUGGGCGUAAAGCGCACGCAGGCGGUCUGUCAAGUCGGAUGUGAAAUCCCCGGGCUUAACCUGGGAACUGCAUUCGAACUGGCAGGCUAGAGUCUUGUAGAGGGGGUAGAAUUCCAGGUGUAGCGGUGAAAUGCGUAGAGAUCUGGAGGAAUACCGGUGGCGAAGGCGGGCCCCUGGGACAAAGACUGACGCUCAGGUGCGAAAGCGUGGGGAGCAAACAGGAUUAGGAUAACC
rnacentral:rRNA from 1 species